rnacentral:rRNA from 1 species
UACGGAAGAUGCGAGCGUUAUCCGGAUUUAUUGGGUUUAAAGGGAGCGUAGGCGGGCUUUUAAGUCAGCGGUCAAAUGUCACGGCUCAACCGUGGCCAGCCGUUGAAACUGCAAGCCUUGAGUCUGCACAGGGCACAUGGAAUUCGUGGUGUAGCGGUGAAAUGCUUAGAUAUCACGAAGAACUCCGAUCGCGAAGGCAUUGUGCCGGGGCAUAACUGACGCUGAGGCUCGAAAGUGCGGGUAUCAAACAGGAUGAGAUACCCCUGUAGUCCGCUGAGACU